AUUGGAAUUGGUGGAUCAUAUGAUAAUUCUAUUUUUUAGGAACUGCCAUAUUGCUUUUCCACAGCAGUUGUACCAUUUUACAUUUCCACUAAUAGU
rnacentral:pre_miRNA from 1 species